ensembl:lncRNA
AUGGUCGUACCCACACAAAUGGACUCCUACACAAUGCCUCUCAGAACGCCAAUUCAUACCCACACAAUGGCAUUGACAACCGGGCUUUCACGCACACUGAUGCUCAGAAUGCAAACACUCUUCCCGAAUACUCAGCAGCAAAAUCCUAACAUUCUCAUACAGACUGGCACUGCCCAGGGCGGCGCCCAGCAGCCGGGGGUCCACCUCAGCCUUAACACGCUGCCACAAAGUGGCCAGCAAAGCAACAAUGCACAAAUGCCCACCAUUCAUGUCAAUCUUAACUCAUACCCAACCAACGGCCAACAGACUCAGCAAGACAGCUCAUUUCCUGUCUCCAAUGUAGCCACUAAUAACGCUUUGCAAACCCAACCCAACGUAACGCAUACAGGGCAAUCACAUCCCAGAAUGCAAAAUGGGCAGUCCUAUCCUAGUGACCCCCAGCUGAAUGGUCACAUAGAAGCAGGUCACCAAGAUCAGCCCGGACUUGUCCCGACUGGAUACACACACUAUAACGGUAAUAACACUCCUCAGCGAAACGCCAACACACAGACGUACCAGCGGGAGCCGGAGCCUCGUCGCAGGUCUGAUAGAAACUCAUGGGAUCUCCUCAGAGGGACGCCAGCGUAUCCCCACGGCACACCUCAAAGAGGACAGACAUCACCUGAGUACACCUCUGACACUACAGACUACACCUACCAUCCUCCCAUACCAGAGGCAAGAACACCAAGCAGAUCUCAGCUUCGACUUCAGAGCCAAACCACUUCCCGGAGCCGAGCUCGGUCCAGACAAGAUUCGCCAUCAGAGGACAGACGGACACGGAGCCGUUCAGCUGAUCUUCGAGGCCCAAACACUCGCAGUGUAACACAGCUUGAAGCUGAACCCCGCACACAGAGAAGCGGCCACACACAAAGGAAGAGCGCUCAGCGAGACAUCAGAGGUUCGCCUGGUAGCCAGAACGCCCCCAGGCAGGAAGCCACACACAGCAAUAACCCCCAGGCACUGCCUCUCAGGAGCCAGCAGGCCUCUGUGGGCCGCUCUGCUCUGUCACAAGGACCCACGACACAACAGGGACCGGCUGCAACGUGGGGUACAGAUUCAAGAGCUUUGGCUGAUCCUAAUCACCUUCCACAGGCACACAGAGCAGUACCGAUCCAAACACUACCACAAGGCCUGGGCAAACACACACAGCCUGUCAUAAAUGGUGCCAAUCAUCCUCGCCAAGGAAGCACUGCUCCAAUCCCAAACUCUUCUGCUCAGCGUGAUGCCAGUAACCUAACCCAGGCUGCACUUACAGCCCACACUGAGAGGGCUCAAACAUUUCAGAAUCGGAAACUACAGACCCAGGCUGCCCUGCUUCACCCCGGACCACAGGUACGUGUUCCUGCUGCCGGGGCUCAGCAGCCACCACCUCCUCCUCCUGUUAUUCCCCUCACACAGUUCCAGCACCUCCCCAGGAAGCACACCCAGCACAAAUCCCCAAUUAGAGGGCCUCAGCCUCCCAGAGCUCCUGUUAACAUACCGGUGGCUCAACGACACCUACAAGUACAACAGCGGACCACCAACCAUCAUCACCAACGUGGACAUGGCCACUUGCAUGUCGAUGAACGCAGGCAUGCCCAUGGCCAGGGGCACCCUGCCCACUUCACCCACCCACAGCAGCAUCAGGCUCACAGAGGGAGACCAAGAUGAUGACAGAUGUCAGCAGACUACACUACAACUGUCCCGCAUCCAGUGACAAACAAACAGCUGACAGACGGGAUCCAAAGCACCACCAGCAAGACUGACUUCACGAGGUUCUGCUCUCAAAAACGCUGUCAUACCCUGGGAUCUCAGUCAGUCAGUUUUUUUUUGUGAAAGAAAGUGAACAUGUCUCCCAUGGGGAUGAUACAAAGUUACUUUUAGUGCUGCUUUCCUAGAAAUAAUUGACACAUUAUGUCAAAGAAGGAGGCUCAAUUUGCACCUUUUUAUAAGAAUGUACUAAAUGAGCUACAUUAUACUGAGUGCUUUUUAGAUAAAAUGCCACAUACACACACACACACACACACACACACAUACACACACACACACAUACAUACAUACAUACAUACACACAUAUACAUAUAUACAUACACACACACAUACAUACAUACAUACACACACACAUGCAUACAUACAUACAUACACACACACUCACACACAUACAUACACACACACACACAUGCAUACAUACAUACAUACACACAUAUACAUAUAUACAUACACACACACAUACAUACACACACACAUGCAUACAUACAUACAUACACACACACUCACACACAUACAUACAUACACACAUACACACACACACACAUGCAUACAUACAUACAUACAUACAUACAUACAUACAUACAUACACACACACUCACACACAUACAUACAUACACACAUACACACACACACACACAUGCAUACAUACAUACAUGCAUACAUACAUACACACAUACACACACACAUGCAUACAUACAUACAUACAUACAUACAUACAUACACACACACUCACACACAUACA